UUUUUUUUUUUCUUGGAUUAAUUUAAUACACAUUCCUGAAUGAUAAAUAUAUCCCUACAAGUUCAACUUUUAUAUAUUGUACUUAUAAAAGUUCUGAUAUUUUCAAAUAUGUCUCUAUUAUUAGAAUCCGUUAAAGAAAUUUAAUUACACAUAGAUUAAAUACUUGAUCCUGAUUAAUUUUUGACGUUUUUACCCCUAUAUAUUAUAGGGUUAUAAUUUUAGAGAGAUAUAUUAAUGAUGACAAAAUUGAAAAUAUAAAUAGUUCUCUAACAGUAAUAAAUCAGAGGAAUAUAUUUACAAAAAUUAGAACUUUUGAAAAAAAAAAUAUACAAAAGUUAAACUUUAUAUAGGGAUAUAUUUAUCAUUAACUAUGUUUGCUGGAACCCGUAUGACAUUAACCUCUUUUUUUUCGACAAAUUAGAUUCGUCCAUAUCAUAAUUCCAACACAACAGUA
rnacentral:lncRNA from 1 species